GCAUAAUCUGUGAAAUCUGUAAUGCCCUCGCCUUUCAAUAUAUUUUCGUCAAUUAAAAAUUGUCCAGUAACAGUUUUGCUAUCUUUGCAGAGCAAUGUGUAAACAGCAUCCGCCAUGAUUUCAGGUUUACGACUGUAAUUACUCGAAUCUGGACCUGAUAGCAUUUCGAUUGCGGCAAUUGCAAAGCAGAGCCUAGAAUUUAUUCUUCAUCAUGCCCCACAAAACGUUGAACAGCAAUAUACCUGUCUUUGGCCAAACGGCGUUUACUGCAAUUCCAUUUGGUUUUAAUUCCUCAGCCAUUCCAAGCACGCACAUGGACAUUCCGUAUUUAGCUAUUGUGUAUGCAACAUGAUUUUUGAACCAAAUCGGUUUCAUACUCAAUGGAGGACUUAUAUUGACUAUAUGCGGAUUCGAACUUUUCAUCAAAUAUGGUAAACAGACUUUUGAUCUAAAACAUAAUUUCAUUGAUUCGUAAUUUGUAACAUAAAUUUCAAGAUAUACCCACGAUUACCUUAAUAAAUUUAGCUAUGUAAGUCUGUCCUUACAACUACAUUACUCAACAUUAAUUCAUUAAAUAUCAAGAAUAUGGUAGCAUAGCAGAAAAAAAGAACUUACACAAGGAAUGUUCCUCUUGUGUUGAUAUUAUUCAUCAAAUCAUAUCUUUUCAUAUCAGUUGCAAGAGUACCUGUUAGAGAAAUAGCGCUCGCAUUGUUUACAACAAUAUCUAUUCCACCAAAUUUAUCAACUGCAUUUUUUACUGCAUUAACCACUUGUGCUUCAUCGCGAACAUCUACAACGCAAGGUAGAGCCUUACCACCAACUGCUUCAACUGAAAUACAUUUUCCGCACUAAAUUAUUAAGUUUGGAAAGUUUUAAGCUGUAAAUAUAUGGCUGACAUAGUGGAAAAGUUGAAUUAUUUGUAAUUCAGUCUGGCACUGUAUAAAAUUAAAUACAGCAAUAAAGUCUUUGUUGAAAAUAA